GCUCUCAUCAACUGGUUGUGAUGUGCAUAUUUGGAAUCAUAUCACAGCCAGCUUUGAUGAGCGUUA
rfam:Oryctes borbonicus contig9220, whole genome shotgun sequence.